CCGGCCAUUGCCGUUCUCGUUUUGUUCUCUCUGUCCAACCUUCAUCUCUCCGUCGUACCUUCUUUUCUCUACUGUCUUGUCUCUCUCUUUCUCUCCGCCAUCCCCAUCGUGAGACUGGUUACAUUCUUUUCAGUUACUAUCAGUGCGGUGUUUUCUCAUUCAUCCCCAAUCUUGGACACCGCUUCUGUUUUUUCAUGAUUU